UACGUAGGGGGCAAGCGUUGUCCGGAUUUAUUGGGCGUAAAGCGCUCGCAGGUGGUUCGAUGCGUCGUGCGUGAAAGCCCCCGGCUCAACUGGGGAGUGUCGUGCGAUACGGUCGAACUGGAGGCCAGUAGGGGGAUGCGGAAUUCCGGGUGUAGUGGUGGAAUGCGUAGAGAUCCGGAGGGACACCAGCGGCGAAGGCGGCAUCCUGGACUGGUCCUGACACUCAUGAGCGAAAGCGUGGGAAGCAAACGGG
rnacentral:rRNA from 1 species